CAGUAGCCGCGGGAAUACGUAGGGUGCAAGCGUUAGUCGGAAUUACUGGGCGUAAAGCGUGCGCAGGCGGUUUUGUAAGACAGAGGUGAAAUCCCCGGGCUCAACCUGGGAACUGCCUUUGUGACUGCAAGGCUAGAGUACGGCAGAGGGGGAUGGAAUUCCGCGUGUAGCAGUGAAAUGCGUAGAUAUGCGGAGGAACACCGAUGGCGAAGGCAAUCCCCUGGGCCUGUACUGACGCUCAUGCACGAAAGCGUGGGGAGCAAACAGGAUUAGAUACCCCCGUAGUCCCUGUCUCUUAUAC
rnacentral:rRNA from 1 species